UUCUCGCCAGACCAAAACUCUGCGUGACCGAAGAUCAUAUGACAUGUUGUUCACAGUGCCACCUAGUGGCGACGUGUUGAAGUGAGGCAGUGUCAUCGUCGGAGGCGAUGCCAGCCUGGCAUUGCCAGGCUCCCGCGGUCGCUCUACAGGCCGAGUUGCGCUGAGGUGCGAGGGCCUUCAAGGCUGCUUGCUGCUUUAAUUGGUGUUGUUUUUCUCGCAGAAGUGUCAGACGCAAUUUUAAUCUGUCUGCUAUAAAGACAUCUUAUUUUGGCGGAUCUGGUGGUUCCUCCUUAAUGACAUCAUUUCCUCUAUUUCGUGUCUGCUGUGGCUGCGGCGUCAGCUUCUGCAAACUGUCUCUAUUAGCACGGAAGAAUACGUGAGGGAUGGUACUAUUUCAGCAUUGCUGGUUCCUCCCGUUCACUACCCUCUUGUGUUUUCUGCUGGCUUUAUGUUUCCUCGUGGGAAAACUCAUCCACAGACCGUGACAUUCAGGACUGUUUUCUAAGAGCAGUCGACUUUAACACAUUUGACCUCCCCACUCUGACACUGACUGCUUCACCUCAGUGGCCCGGUCAGCUGCCAGCUGGAGCUGCUACAGACGUGCACAGCACAACCCCGAUGACACUCAGUACGCUGCUAAAAAUGGCCAGCGAGAGGCUGAUCGCUGGUCACUGGGGAGCGCGAGAGCACAGCUGUCUACAAUAGAGGAGAAUAUAAAGAGGCUGCAUUAAACUGGGUUAAUGUGACCUUCUGUGCUUGAAUCUUGGCACCAAGAGAGAGAUGCGCCCCAGAGGUAACUUAAGGUUAAAUCCUCUCAUUUUAACAUGAGAUAUGACUGUUAUAUUUAAUUUUUUCAGGAUGACAGCACACAAUUUGCCUUUAUUUUGUUUUUGUUUUUUGCUAACCAGAAGCUCUCAUAUAUUUACUUGCUUGUUUAAAGUGUUUGACAGACAGUAACCAUGUCCUGAUUUCAUCCAGAUUUCCGCAUGAGUCAGUCCAACAUCACUUCUCGCGGGUUAAAGUAAAUGAAAACAUCCGGGUGAGCUGACAAACUAUGGCAGUUCGGUGUUGUGCACGGCAACAUAAAUAAUUCAUCAGACAUGUAAUGGAUUGUGGUCUCAGGCUUGUAAGUGAAUCAUUCCUGACAUAUGCACAAUUUCACUUUGGUGGCGUGUUCACGUAAACACGCCUCACAUGACAAUAAUGGCUCAUGACAGGGCCUGGCCACAGUGUGAAAGCAGCAGUUCUUAUUCUGGGGUGCAUAAAGAUAAAGUGCUUGUCAGGAGCAGGAUGGUCAUCUGUAUGGAAAACUUUGAGACUCAUCAAGGUGUCAGACUCAAACAACUGCUGAGAAAUUUCCACCCAGCAGUCGCUUUAGCAAAGAUAAAGCCAUUGACAAAUAUCUCCAUUUAAUAACUGACUGAGCCACAACAUGGGAUCUGACAAACUGUUAAAGUCCUCUGGCAAAUGCAAGAUGUAUGUCUAUAUCUAGUCAACCAUUCAGGAAAAAACGGACUUCUCCUGCAGCUUCUAGUUUGUCUGUCAGCAGCUGACAGAGAUGAGAGUGAUUCAUGGCGACGUGUCUGUUUGUCACGCUAUCGACCAAAAACAGAGACGACAGCCAAAACAAAGCCUCCACACUAUUACUGAAGUUAAAUAUUUAUCAGAAGCAACUAGCUACAUGCAUGUUAAUUAGAAAUUAUAACUCAUUUGCUGUAUGAACAUGGUCAGUAAAAAACUAAUUAUUAAAGUAGGAAAUUAUGGCUUGUUUAGUUGACUGACAAAAAGCAUCAUUAUUUCACUUCAUAUUCACCAGAUGUUUUAAAAAUGCUGAUCUGUCUACAUACGGACAUAUUUCUCUAACUUUUUCACUGGAUAAAGCUGUGAGCUUGUUAACUCCUUACAGACGAUCUCUGUUUUAGUUUAUUUUGGCAAACUUAACAUGUUUCUGAUCAGCAAACUAAAAGUUUUUCAAAAUACUAAAUGCAAAACAGCUUAUACUGUUAUAAUGUGCUGUUAACAUCAUUUUUUUACAUUUGGUGUGACUGCUUUUAUUUGUCCUUUUUACUACCCUGUUCUUAUUACAUAAUGGAUGUCAUAUUGAUUUUGUUGUCAUUACAUAAGAUUAGGUUCUGCUGUUUGUGAUUUGAAAUGCCUCAAAAGAAGGACAUGUCUCUAUAAUAUUUGCCUUUAAUGUUUUAAAAAUCCAAUGCCACAGUAUAUGAUUUCCAUCUAUGCUUCAAUUUUUUUUGGACAUUUUACUGUGGAGUUUUUAACAGUGUCAAAGAGGAUAAACACAUUACACAGGUACGCAUUACAUGUAGUCUAAAGAGGAUGUAAAAAGUUUAAACCCCACACAUGGUAAAGUUACAACGUCAAAGCUUUAUAAAGCCCGAGGUUUAAAACUAAAGGGGGUUAAUAAUAAAUCCCCUCUAAAGACCGUGAUGAAAAAUAAAAGUAACAGUAAAAUUACCAUGUUAUUUCCAUUUAUUAUUGACCCCAAGCAGUAUGGCAUGUGUGUGUACUAACUCAAACGUCAUCCUUGAUCAGUACCAUGAAAGCACAUGAAGCUAAAGCUGCUAUCAAUCAUGAGGCUUUUGAUCUACUAAAUUCAAAAGCUGUUUAAAAAUAGAUAUUUCCAGUCUGUUGGAAGAACUGACUGACUUUUUCGCUCCUAAUAAAGUCACAACAUGUUUGUCAAUUUUCUCCUCAGGAGGACCUUUAUUAAACCGCAUCCUGCUAAAUAGACCCUUGAUUAGAACAUUUCCUGACUUCUGCUGCUGCCUGUUGAGCUGCUUUUGGUGAGAUGAAACACUAAGAAGCCUCUAAAAUAUUCAAUUUCCAACUGUAGAGAAAGUUCCUACAAACAAACAAGCAAAAGUUGUCUACAGACUAAAACACGUGUCAGUAAUGUUCAGUAUGUUAUUUUUUUAUAUUCAAUUUUUUUUAGGAAGUAUUAGACACAAAAACCUUUUUCUAUUGUUAUGAUAAAGAACUUCUGUUUUUAUUGACACUUUCCUUGUGAUCAUUCUUGAGCUUGAUACAUUUAACCAUUAAAAGAACAUAAAUUCCAGUUAAAGUUCCUUCCUUUGGUCUAGUUGAAAUGAAUUCACAGUAAUGCUAGGAAGUCAGUGCAGGAAGAUCUGGCAGCUCCUAGGCUAGUUGCCAUGCAGUGACUUGCAAAACUAAAUACCAAUUCAUGCUUUUCACAUUUUGUCAGGUUAUAACCAUGUUACAGACCAACACAACAUAUAACAUCCUUGGGAAGAGGAAAGGAAAUGAUAAAUAGUUUUCUAUUUCUUUUUUACAUGUAAUAAUCUGAAAAGAGUAUUGUGCAUUUGUAUUCUUCAGUUACAGAUUCUUUGCAAAAUUGCCCAAGUCCUGUCACAAAUCGAUGGGGAGCAGCUGUUAACAUUCAUUUUCUAGUCUAGUUACAAAUUCUGUGCUGGAUUUAGGUCUCAACUUUGAUAAGGCCAUUCUGACACAUUAAUAUGCCUUUAUCUAAACUAUUCUGCCUAUUUGUUUAGAGUUGUUGUCAAGGUGAAAGGUGAACGUCCAUCUCAGCCUCAAGUCUUUUGCAGCCUUUAACGAGUUUUCAGGUAUAUUGCAUGCACACAUAUACAUGUAGGCCAAAAGUUACAUUUUGGUCUCGUCUGACCAGAGCAUCUUCUUCCACAUGUUUCCUCUGUCCUCUGCAUGGCUUGUGGAAAACUGCAAGCAUUACAUUUCAUAGUUUUCUUUCAACAAUGUGUCUGGACAUCUGGAGUGUUCCUUGGUCCUCAUGACGCUCUUUGUUCAAUAAUGUUAUCUGGCAAACGUUUCCUCAAAGAAUAGCUGAAUUUAUACUGAGAUUUAAUUACACACAUUGCCACAUUGUUUCAAAAUGUUCUGUUAGAAAUUGUUGGUGUCCUACAUAAAAUUCAAAAUCGAUCCAAAUGGAUUGUGGUUGAAAUGUGACAAAAAGUGGUAUCAAUACUUUUGCAAGGCACUUUAAAUACCGUUCUCUUGUAGUUUUCAGAACAAAACGUAAUCGUCCUAAAUCCCCCCCAUUCUUCACUUAUCUCCACUGCAGUGAAGUAGGCUCAAAGUUGCACCAUCUUCUUCACAGUGGUCAUAAAAAUGGCUUCAUUUCAUUGUUUCAGAACUUAGCUAAGUUUGGCAUUUAUAUUCAUCCUGCUUGAACGCCUUCAUUAAAAGCGUUGUCACAGCGAUGCUACAAGUAGUCACAUCCCUACCAACUCAUUUGCUCUCUGAGUGAAGCCACUUUGAUGAAAAUAUAAAACAUAAUCUCCUUUGGAGAUUUUUGCAUGCAGGCUUUCAUUUUAUCACACUUAGACUGGCUGUGUAUUGAAACAAAAAGUAAUCUCGAUCCAGCAGCAGAUAAUCAAACCUAACAGACAGAAACUCGCUGUAUUCCUGCUGUUUGGAUCUCAGGAGAGGAAAUUGGAAGAUGUUUUUUAAAACCUCCCAGUGGAUUGAUGCAGAGUCUGAAAGCAAUGCAAAAUGCCCUCCGGAUGGCUUGAUUUUUGUAUUUAUCAAAUGUUGCAGUCUCCCUCCGAGCAAUCACACCAAGAGAACGACAAGGGCUAAAAACAGAAACAGCUUUAAGCUGGACUCUGGAUGUGGAUUUCUAUUUCUAAGGAAUAUGGCGUCAUUUGUGAAAAUACACUUUUUUGUGAAAAGAAGACUGCAGAUUUGAAUCCCAUUUCUGAGUUGUUCAAACUUUGAAUCAGAUGGAACAACCCUGAUAAAACUGAGUUUAGCUGUAAUGCACUGAGUAGCAGAUAUUUCAGAAAUUUACACAUCUACACUGUUCUCUGUGCAGUUUUAAAAAAGGAGCAUGAUUUUCUAAAGCAUGAACUUCAGUAUGUGAAUCAGGUAAUUGUAUUUGCAACUAUACUGUUAUGCAAAAAUAUUCAUGACCCUUCCACUAUUCCAUUUUUUAUCACAUUGUUAUUUCAAACUUUAAUGUAAUGUAUCAGGAUUAUGAUGAAUCAACAAAAAGUAGCGUAUAAUUAUAAAGUUAAAACAAAAGCAUAAAUGAUUUUCAAAUAAAUUUUGCAUAUAAAAAUUGAAAAAAUGUGUGACAUGCAUUUAUAUUAGGCCCGCCUUACUCUGACAACCGGAUUAAACCCUGUGGAAUCAACUGCCUUCAGGAGGUACCUAAUUACUAAAUACAGUCACCUCGGUGCAAUUUAAUCUUGGUAUAAAUGCAUCUGUUCUGUGAAGGUCUUAGAAGUUUGUUAGAGAACAUUGGUGAUGAGCAGAUGGAUGGUGUUAAAUAAAGGGCACUUCAAAAAGAAACCCUGUUAGAGGCUGCCAAAGACUUGAGACUGGGGUGGAUCUUAACUGUCCCACAGGUCAUCCUCCCUCAACAUUCAACAUACAGCCAGAGCUACAACGGAACGGUUUCGAUCAAAGGAUAUUCAUGUGUUAGAAUAGCCCAGUCAAAGCCCAGACCUAAAUGUAAUUGAGAAUCUGUGGUAAGACCUGAAAAUUGAUGUUCACAGAUGUCCUCAAUUUGACAAAGCUUGAGCUAUUUUGCAAAGUCAAACUGGCAUAAAUCUCAGUAUCUAAAAGACUUGCAGCUGCAAAUGCAGAAAAAGGUAGUUGACAAGUGACAAAAUGUGAAAAAGAUCAACCUGUAUGAAUACUUUUACAAGGUGCUGUGUGUCUGAGGUGGAUUUAACAAGGAUAUUUGUAUUUCAGCAGCACUCCAGAGAAAUGUAAAAUAGAAAUGAGUGUGCAUAUUAGCUGGGAAGCUAAUCAAAGUUUAGUUUAUGACUCCACAGAUAGGCUCAUGAGGGAGCACAAUCGUCCCAGAUUCAUGGCAGAAAUAAUCUUAUUGAAAGGCAAAAAGAAGUUAACUUUAAAGAAACCAAAGUUAAUCAUGUGAAUAAAAUGGAAUGUGGAGAUGUCAUUUGCAGGCGUUCUCUCCUAAAUCUCAUACAGUAUAAUCAUUUAGUUCUGUGGUAAUGACAGCGGGACCAAGGUUCAGCUCUGACAAAACAUGAGCUCAUCUUAACUUUUCAUGCCAAAGUAAAUCACUGAACAAGACAAAUGCAUGUUAUUUUAUUUCAGCUGUUUUCUCCUUUAGUAAAACUUGAUUUUAUUUGAUAAAACCACUUUUUAUGAUGAACAGAACUAAUCAAAUAAAACAGUAGCAAAACUUUGUUUGGCUUCUGGACUUUGAAAGUGCUGUAUCAAGAAAAAAUACCGUUCUAGGCUUUUUUAUUGAUUAUUCUUCGGUCUAUUACAUAGCAGGUAAUACAUCAAAACCCAAAGGAAACCUCGAGAGACUCUGAGCUUCUGGCCCGCACCAUAUUAGACCAGGCUAUCUAUAUACAGUGUGGGGAUAAGCAGCUGAGAC